rnacentral:lncRNA from 1 species
CCACUGCCAAUGCCGGCGGCAUGUUCAACAAGAUCAUUAAGUGCGGCGGCCAUAAGAUGCCCAAAUCGUAUACUAAAAGCUUAAGAUAGCUCACUUAUAGUUUAUCGAAUAUUCAUUUUAAUACACUUUAGUUUUAACUUUGUCAGUGAUUUAAUGAAAAAAAUUAGUGAAUGAAAUAACAAAAAGAGAAUAAUAAAAAUAUAUGGUACGAAAGUCAUACAUUUUAAACCAUAAAGUAAUAAAAUAAGAAAGUGUGAAAAUACAGGAAUGAUAUUUGAAGUUUUCUUUUAAAAAUUUUUUUCAACUAAUAUAUUAAAUUGGAAAAGAGGACAACCAUUAUGAAAGAUGCCUUUAUUUUUUAUUUUUUUUAUUUAGUCCUUGCACAGAAUAAAUCUACAAAACCUGAUAUCAGCACAACCUGCUACUAAAGAGUAAAUCAUAGUACAUUCUACAGUGCAAGGAUCGACGUUCGCUAAUUAUUACAAGCCCUAAUAGAUUUAAUAGAUUAAUAAGUUAAAUUACAGUCUACAAUAUAUCUAAUGACAAAAGAUUCAAAAAUAGAUCUAAUAUUCAGAUAAGUUGAAUCAAGUUAAAAUUGAUAAGCACUGCGACUGAACCGUUAAAUACGAUCGGUGCGUGCGUCCUUCCGCUUUUGGAAUAGUUGAUUAUGCCCGAUCC